CGUGCGGGCGCUAACGUGACAGCGCUUCCGGUUCGGGUGCCGGCGGUGCCGCCGCUCCCUCGGCGGGCGGAGUGUGGGGCUCGGGCACCCGGCGGCAUCGGGGCGGGCGCUGGGGCCGCGCGGCGCUGCCGCUGCUGCUCCGGGCUGCUGCCGGGGCUCCCGUGCCGCCGGCCGUGCGCGGGAGGGCGGUGCGGGGAUUUCCCCGCGCUGAGGGGAACCGGCCCCGGCGCCUCCCGAACCCGCCGCUCCGGCGCUGCCAGGGAGUUUGUGAUCAAUUAAAAAGAUGCCUUGUAUUCUCGGAGUGGUGCAUUCUACCUCUGCUGUUUUUCCUGCUAGUCUGGAUCCUCUGCUUAGAUUUUUUUCUUCAUAUUUUAGGUGCCCUGGCUGUGGUGGAUGUCCCGGUCGAGGGCAGUGAUGGCUUUCAUGAAGAAAUCUUUAAAUGAAGACGGGAUUACCCAAACCUUUCCCUUCCCUGCUGCACUAGAAGCCAGGAAUAUCCUGUUGCUUCAGUCUGAAAACGGAACAGGACACCUUGAUAAGCGUGAUUCCUAGAGCUGAAGGGAGACACCACAGCCAGACAAGGUGUGCAACCACCUGACUUAUUUCUUCAACCACCUGAUUUAUUUCUAGUACAAUUAGAACAAACAGCCCUUUCCUUUUUAAUAAAGAUAAAGCACCUAGUUUAAAAAUCACGAGGAGGUGAGCAAAGAACCUGCUGUGCCCCUGGAUUCUGCAUUUACCACUUUGCUAAAGAGAGCCUAUGAGAGAGGAAGCAAUACCCUACUGGAAGGUGGUGUUCAGACAAAAUUGGCUUCCUGGCUCCCACCUGACCAGCUUUUGUUGGGAGUAAAGCAUGUGCUGUUAUACCUGAAAUCCACAGUGGAGAACUUCAGCAGGCUUGGUAAAACUUUGGGUCCUCAGCUUGUUGAUCUCUGUGUGGACCUGCUGAGCAUCUUGUUGUGCCGGGACAAUGAAAUAAAGCUGGAGCAGCAGCAGAAGCAGGAGGAGCAUCAGGCUGAUGGGAUCUCUUCAUGGAUGAGGAGCCUCUGAUGACAGAAGUGUCUUCAAAUGACAAGACCCUGGAGGAUGCACUCACCUUGAUUUUCAGACAUCCUGCACUGGAGAGCUGGUUCCUGGCGUUGGAGCUGCGCUCUAUUCCUCAG